AAGAGGAUAGUUUGCCAUAGGAUUGUGACAAGUGUCAGCGUAGGAUAAUGCCACAUGAUAGUUUUAGGACAAAAGUAGUUAAUUAGUUAAUAAUUAGUUUUUAGUUAUUAUUUUUAAUUUAAAAAUAAUUAAAUAUCAAUAUUUUCUAGGAAACAUAUACAUCUAUAUAUUGGAUUUAAUUUAAAUUAACAAAUAAAGAAUUUAGAUUAGAACAUAAAUUAUUUGAAUAAUACUUGAAAAGUAAACACAUUUUUUUUUUUAAUGAACAAGAACCAGGAAAUCAAAUUUUAUCUUUACAUUUUUUUAUAUUUAAAAAGAAAAACAAAAACACAAAAAUAAGAAGACAAAAGAAAAAAGAAAAAAAGAAUAAACGAAGUAAAACUAAUCCAAGUGCACGUCACAUACCCCAUUUGCCCCACUAACUCACUUAUUGAAGACAAAAUCAGAAAAAUGAAAUAACUACCCCACGUCUGCACCACGUUCCCAUUCCCGCAUUUCCUAUUGCACGAUCAAGCACACAUGUAUGCUGCCAACACAUAAGUAAUUGUAGAGAGACGUACUUUUACAAUUUCAGGUUACUGCUACUCUCCCACUUUUUUCUCAAAUCUAGAAAAGAAGGAUACCAACGGAGGAGAUCAGAGACGUAAAAAGACAGAGAGAACCUAUUGGACUUCAAUUACUUUACUCAUUUCCAGUCUUCUUAGUCAUAUUGGGGCGCAACAUUCAAUUAUAAAGGUAAUUAUAUUCUGUCAAAUUUUCUUAUAUAGUACAAAUAUUAUAUUCUAAGUUUAGUUGUUGUUUUUGUUUUGUGGUAUAUGCUCUACUAAGAUUGUACGUGCACGCUGUUAUGCAUAUCAAAUAAUGUGGAGGUUUUGAUCCACUACUUGGACUGCAACAGAAAAAAGGUAUGCUCCUUUGACAUUAUUACUAACUAGAUUAGAUUAGAUUAAUUUAAUUUUCCAAAAAUCAAAUUUAGAUAUUUGAAAACUAUAUCCAAAAUUAUUGUAUAUUGUAAAUACAUCUUAAAAUAUCCAUAAAUGUUUAUGUAAUUUGAAUCGAGAAAUGAAAAGAGACUUAUAUUGGAUGAUGUUUCUGUGUAUUCAGAGAUUUCUUUUCUUUGAUGAUGAGGGAAACGGAUAGCAGCACCAAGUACCAACGAAGAUAAAUUGUGAGUUCAUUGUUUCUUUGGUUUCAUGUAGAUCUCUUGAUAUAGUUAACCUUUGAUACCAACUCAAGAAUGAGACUUUGUCAUAAAUGCAUUUGGGCUAUUCAGAAAUUUAAACACCUAAUGUUCGGCAUGGUGAAACUUGAAGUUGACAACAUGAUUUGAGAAUGAAUAAUUCCAUUUCACUAUUCGUUCUGAUUAAUGCCAAACGGGAAACAGAGGGCUCCCUAUCUUAGUUGGAGAAAAAAUGGUUUCUUUUAAAAACAAUGCAUCUAGGUCAGAAAAUGAAAGUUAAUGUUGUGGCUAGGCAAAACCGUGAAAGUGAAUAGAUGUCCAAUAGCAUCGGAUUUGUUGCUACUAUAGAAUGACUUAAUAUGCAAAUCAUUAGUUUAGUUUCUUUUAUUGUCAUUUACGUGAUUUCAAAAGAAAAGAAAUUACUACCAAAAUUUUCCCAUUGAACUAUGUAUAGGUUUUUUGAUGAGUCCUACAAGUCCGAAGCCUUGAAAUGGAAAAAGAUUGACUACUCCAUCCGCUAAUGGGUUGGUGGCAAGCCUUAGUAACCCAGUAAGUAAUUGCGUUAUUUUUGUUUGUGCAAUAAAUUUAAGAUCUUUUGGUCUACUUAAUACUUAUUUGAUUGCUUUCAAACAGUUUUUAAUCUUUUUGUUUCAUGUUUUUGUCGAAUUAUCCCACCUGGUGGGAUUAUAUUGGGCAUGUUGUUGUUGUUUUAUUAUAGUGAUGGAAAAGUCUUCCUUCAGGGGUCUUCUAAAUGAUUUAUUUUAUCACUUAGCGUUAGAGAUUAUCUCCACUUGAAGGGAAAUUUAAAUCUGAAAGUUUUAUGUAGAAAAUUAAUUGAUUUUUAUUGUGUUUAUGCCCUCAAUAUCAGCACUGCGGAGUGCGUACAAACUGUUGGGUAUAACCUCUAAAAUAAUUUCUCAUUCGAUCGUUGAAUACUUAUUUUUUCAUUGAAAAAGUUUGUUUGUUGAACCAAAAUAAAUUUUGGUUUCAUUCUUUGGAAAUAAUAUAGUUACUGACAACUUAGUUACCGACAAAAAAAAAAAAAAAUAUAGUUACUGACAACUUUUUGCUCACAAUGGGGUGAAAUAGUUUUUUCAGUUUGUGAAUUGAGCAUUGUUUAUCUAUUGACAAGCUUAUGGAGCGUUAACUCACGCCAGGGAUACUGAAGUUUAAAACUUAAAUAUGUGUCAUUCACGUUUGCUUUUGCCUUUCUUUUUGUACUUAUUUUUUCUAACCUCCAAAGAUGCAGUCUUUAUCAGUAGAGUAGCUGAGGGGUUUUGCUUGGGAGUUUAAAAGCACAAAAGAUAGUGCAGGCGAUAAUUACAAUAAUUUGAGUUGUACCUUAAUUACAAAUGUAGAUCCACUUAAGAGGCAGCUGAAUUUAUCAUGUUCAUAUUAUGGGGAUUCUAGCACAUUAAAAAUAAUUUAUGUGUCAUCUGUGUAAAGUUUACACCAAGUAGCCAUUCUAUUUUUCCGCGACCGUGUUUGGUAUUGGAUUAGGCACACUGAUGGUGCAACCAGUUAGACAUUCUCCAACUGAAAACGAUAACAAAAGCUUCUCAAUUACUUUUCAUGAUCUAUAUACUUGAUGUUUUUGCGUAUACUCAGAUGUACAGAAAAGUGCUUCUAUAUUCCAUGUAACUGUAUGUUUUUUCGUCCAUUAUCUAUUGGAGGAGUAGAAACUCCAAGUUCUAAUUAGACAAAUCUACAGAGCUGAUUAUUGCAGUUGCUCGAAAGAAAUAGAGUCAUCAUACACAACAACAAAUGAAAAAAGGAAAACUCGAGUUCUUCUCAGGAUCACGAAACACAAGCAAAGAAGAAAUUCACAGAAAAGUAAAUGAUCAGAUGUGAAGCACAUCAUAAGAAGGGCAUCAUCUCACUAGCUCAUUUCGUGUAAUAAAAAAAUGAUCAUGAAAGGAAGUUUGUAAAUAAGCUCUUGGUGAUGGUGCAUGCAGGUUCUACAACGAUAUCGUGAAAAAUAUGCCAUUAGAGGAGACAACUGUUUGGUAUGUCAAGAGUCUAUUAUCUAUGUUUAAUUUUUUUCCAAUUGAAGGGAGGGGAUGGUUCACAUGAGUUAAUACAUUGGCAAUUGAGGGGAGAGGAUGGUUUAAAUGAGUUGAUCUUCUUAUCAAUGAUCUUUUUCUUAAUUCAAAUAGUUGUAUUUAAAUACUUAUGGUAUUUGGUUUACUAUGGACUUGGUACUUUGGGCAAAUUGGUGCUCAAUUUAGUUCAGAGACACUGAUUGACUG